rnacentral:rRNA from 1 species
GGUUUAAUUCGAAGCAACGCGAAGAACUUACCAGGCCUUGACAUGCAGAGAACUUUCCAGAGAUGGAUUGUGCCUUCGGGAACUCUGACACAGGUGCUGCAUGGCUGUCGUCAGCUCGUGUCGUGAGAUGUUGGGUUAAGUCCCGUAACGAGCGCAACCCUUGUCCUUAGUUACCAGCACGUUAUGGUGGGCACUCUAAGGAGACUGCCGGUGACAAACCGGAGGAAGGUGGGGGAUGACGUCAAGUCAUCAUGGCCCUUACGGCCUGGGCUACACACGUGCUACAAUGGUCGGUACAAAGGGUUGCCAAGCCGCGAGGUGGAGCUAAUCCCAUAAAACCGAUCGUAGUCCGGAUCGCAGUCUGCAACUCGACUGCGUGAAGUCGGAAUCGCUAGUAAUCGUGAAUCAGAAUGUCACGGUGAAUACGUUCCCGGGCCUU